rnacentral:rRNA from 1 species
AAAAUUAGAGUGUUCAAAGCAGGCAGAUCCAAUUUUCUGCCACCGAAUACAUUAGCAUGGGAUAAUGGAAUAGGACCCUGUCCUCCUAUUUUCAGUUGGUUUUGGCAGCGCGAGGACUAGGGUAAUGAUUAAUAGGGAUAGUUGGGGGCAUUAAUAUUUAAUUGUCAGAGGUGAAAUUCUUGGAUUUAUGAAAGAUUAACUUCUGCGAAAGCAUCUGCCAAGGAUGUUUUCAUUAAUCAAGAACGAAAGUUAGGGGAUCGAAGACGAUCAGAUACCGUCGUAGUCUUAACCAUAAACGAUGCCGACCAGCGAUUAGGAGACGUUGAAUACAAAACACCACCAUCGGUGCGGUUCGUCCUUGGCGUCUCGGUCCUUCACGGGGGGGGCGCGGGGUGGCCUUAAUCCCCGGUGGCACCGGUGAA